AGGUCACUUCAAAGAGGGCUGUAUGCUGUUGAACAAACGGCUCUUAACGCAAUGACCUAAUAUGGAAAUCCUUUGCAGGAUGUCAGGGGUACUUUAUAUGUACUCUGUGGUCUAUCCCAGAGGAGACAUG